UCUGAGUCACAAUCAGAUCACUGAUGCUUCGACUGAUGUGUUACUGCAGCUGCUCUCCAUCAACCCCUCCAUCGACUGUGUGCGACUCUACAGCAACAACAUCGUGCACAGAGCAGCCUUCAAGGAACACAAGCAGUUUGAGAUCUGGUGAAGCACUCAACAGCUGGGAUAGGCUCCUGCCCCCUCGCGACCCUGAAAAAGAAUACGCAGAAGCGAGUGGAUGGAUAGUGAAAAAACAAAGCAAGACUGUAAUCGUUACUUUAAAGUUACGUGUGUCUUCCUCCAGUCUCAGCCUAUCUGCACCUGAGAGAUUUGGUCAUCAGCCAGUUCCCAUUUAAGCCGAGGAAGAUAUUUAUUCAAUGCUGGAUUGUUGACUAGAAUCCCAGGCUGAGUAAAUGUUCUCACUGGGUUGUGGACUUGUUUCUGGUGUUUCUUUUGACCAGGCCCGUGGCGAGGAUUGGAGCCUUCAGGACACCCAGCUGUCUCAGAACCCAGUCGCAAAGAUUGUUGCUUUUCUGUGUGAUCAUGUGUCACUGUAAAUAAACACACUGUACUGAAGAUUUAAGAUUCUGCUUUUUGAGUCCUUCCCUGAUCACUAACCAUGACAAAAAUCAUCUGGAUUUAACAGAAGAACGAAAGAAAAAACGUAAUGAAGUCAUUCACAUGGAUCUCACCUGUCUGUCCAGCAGCUCACGUGUAUUUCAUGUAACUUUAUAUAUUCUAUUUCUAUAUCCCUCCCAAUAAAACAAAC
rnacentral:lncRNA from 1 species